rnacentral:rRNA from 1 species
UACGGGGGGGGCAAGCGUUGUUCGGAAUUACUGGGCGUAAAGGGCUCGUAGGCGGCCAACUAAGUCAGACGUGAAAUCCCUCGGCUUAACCGGGGAACUGCGUCUGAUACUGGAUGGCUUGAGUUUGGGAGAGGGAUGCGGAAUUCCUGGUGUAGCGGUGAAAUGCGUAGAGAUCAGGAAGAACACCGGUGGCGAAAGCGUUCUGCUAGACCUGUACUGACACUGAGGGACGAAAGCUAGGGGAGCGAAUGGG